rnacentral:rRNA from 1 species
AACGAACGCUGGCGGCAUGCCUAACACAUGCAAGUCGAACGAAACCUUCGGGUCUAGUGUCGCACGGGUUCGUAACGCGUGGGAACCUUCCCUUAGGUUCGGAAUAACUCCCCGAAAGGGGUGCUAAUACCGGAUAAUGUCUUCGGACGGAAGAUUUAUCGCCUUUGGAGGUGCCCUCGUUGGAUUAGCUAGUUGUUAGGUUAAAAGCCUAUCAAGGCGACGAUCCGUAGCUGGGCAGAGAGGAUGAUCAGCCACACUGGGACUGAGACACGGCCCAGACUCCUACGGGAGGCAGCAGUGGGGAAUAUUGCACCAUGGGCGAAAGCCUGAUGCAGCAAGGCCGCGUGAGUGAUGAAGGUCUUAGGGUUGUAAAGUUCUUUUACCCGGGAUGAUAAUGACAGUACCGGGAGAAUAAGCCCCGGCUAACUACGUG